GAUUUUUUUUAUUACUAUUUUCUAUUCAUUUAGAUAAUAUUUGUAUGUAAAAUAAAUCAUCAUCGAAAAGAUUAUAUUUUGGUCAUUUAUUUGUCUAGUAUAAGAUUUUCGUCAUUUACUGUGAGUAAAAUAGAGUGUUCAAAGCAGGCUUAAGCUGUUGAAUAUAUUAGCAUGGAAUAAUAAGAUAAGACCUUGGUCGUUAAGAGUAUUAUGUUGUAACAGAUGUAAUAUUUAAUUUUGUUGGUUUAUUGUUAUCAAGGUA
rnacentral:rRNA from 1 species